rnacentral:rRNA from 1 species
CUACGGGAGGCACCAGUCAAGAAUCUUCCGCAAUGGGCGAAAGCCUGACGGAGCGACGCCGCGUGAUUGAUGAAGCCCUUCGGGGUGUAAAAAUCUUUUACCAAGGAUGAACUUUUGACAGUACUUGGUGAAUAAGAGGUUGCUAACUCUGUGCCAGCAGCAGCGGUAAUACAGAGACCUCAAGCGUUAUCCGGAUUCAUUGGGCGUAAAGCGUCUGUAGGCGGUUUAGUAAGUCAGUGGUUAAAUCCUGAUGCUCAACAUUGGGACUGCCUCUGAAACUACUAGACUAGAGGAUGGUAGAGGCAGAUAGAAUUGCCGGUGUAGGGGUAAAAUCCGUUAAUAUCGGCAAGAAUACCAAAUGCGAAGGCUUUCUGCUGGAACAUAUCUGACGCUGAGAGACGAAAGCGUGGGGAGCGAAUGGGAUUAGAUCCCUCGUAGUC